AAGGGAGAGACAACAGGGAUUGCCUCAGUAACGGCGAGUGAAGCGGCAAGAGCUCAAAUUUGAAAUCUGGCGUCCCCGACGUCCGAGUUGUAAUUUGGAGAGGCAUCUUCUGGAGGGGCCCAGCCUAUGUUCCUUGGAACAGGACGUCGUAGAGGGUGAGAAUCCCGUUCUCGGCUGGAUGUCCCCACCUGCAUGUAGUGUCUUCUACGAGUCGAGUUGUUUGGGAAUGCAGCUCAAAAUGGGUGGUAAAUUUCAUCUAAAGCUAAAUAUUGGCGAGAGACCGAUAGCGCACAAGUAGAGUGAUCGAAAGAUGAAAAGCACUUUGAAAAUAGAGUCAAACAGUACGUGAAAUUGUUGAAAGGGAAGCGCUUAAGACCAGACUCGGCCUUGGACAAACAACCUCCCUUCUGGUUGGUGCACUUGCCCUCGGCCGGGCCAGCAUCAGUUGGGACGGCGGGAUAAAGGCCACGGGAACGUGGCUCCUCUCGGGGAGUGUUAUAGCCCUGGGUGCCAUGCCGUCAGUCCUGACUGAGGACCGCGCUUCGGCAAGGAUGCUGGCGUAAUGGUCUUCAGCGACCCGUCUUGAAACACGGACCAAGGAGUCUAACAUCUAUGCAAGUGUUUGGGCUUCAAACCCUUACGCGUAAUGAAAGUGAACGGAGGUGGGAACCCCGAGAGGGGCGCACCGUCGACCGAUCCUGAUGUCUUCGGAUGGAUUUGAGUAGGAGCAUAGCUGUUGGGACCCGAAAGAUGGUGAACUAUGCCUGAAUAGGGUGAAGCCAGAGGAAACUCUGGUGGAGGCUCGCAGCGGUUCUGACGUGCAAAUCGAUCGUCAAAUUUGGGUAUAGGGGCGAAAGACUAAUCGAACCAUCUAGAGCUGGUUCUCAAGAACUCC
rnacentral:rRNA from 1 species